rnacentral:lncRNA from 1 species
AUGAAUGUUGUGAUUGCUCAUGAAUUUUGUUGGAAUUAUUUGGAUCAUUUCUGAUUUAAUUGAGAUUUUUCAUUCUGGUGGAUCACAUGUGAGCUUUAAAAUAUCCUUGAACUUCAAUUGAUCAUGAAAUGCUUUUGGUUAAUGAUAUUGAUAUGAGACCUUUUGGAUUGUUUCAAGAUGUGUUUGAAGUUGAUUCAUGUAAAUUUUCAGCUUCUGUUUUGAAUUUUUUCUCCACCUUUG